UCGGACGGGGGUAGUAACGCGUGAGAAUCUAGCUUCAGGUCGGGGACAACCACUGGAAACGGUGGCUAAUACCGGAUGUGCCGAAAGGUGAAAGAUUUAUUGCCUGAAGAUGAGCUCGCGUCUGAUUAGCUAGUUGGUGUGGUAAGAGCGCACCAAGGCGACGAUCAGUGCUGGUCUGAGAGGAUGAUCAGCCACACUGGGACUGAGACACGGCCCAGACUCCUACGGGAGGCAGCAGUGGGGAAUUUUCCGCAAUGGGCGAAAGCCUGACGGAGCAAUACCGCGUGAGGGAGGAAGGCUCUUGGGUUGUAAACCUCUUUUCUCAGGGAAUAAAAAAAUGAAGGUACCUGAGGAAUAAGCAUCGGCUAACUCCGUGCCAGCAGCCGCGGUAAUACGGAGGAUGCAAGCGUUAUCCGGAAUGAUUGGGCGUAAAGCGUCCGCAGGUGGCACUGUAAGUCUGCUUUAAAGAGCAAGGCUCAACCUUGUAAAGGCAGUGGAAACUACAGAGCUAGAGUACGUUCGGGGCAGAGGGAAUUCCUGGUGUAGCGGUGAAAUGCGUAGAGAUCAGGAAGAACACCGGUGGCGAAAGCGCUCUGCUAGGCCGUAACUGACACUGAGGGACGAAAGCUAGGGGAGCGAAUGGGAUUAGAUACCCCCAGUAUUCACGCGUUACC
rnacentral:rRNA from 1 species